CCUACGGGAGGCAGCAGUGGGGAAUAUUGGACAAUGGGCGAAAGCCUGAUCCAGCAAUGCCGCGUGAGUGAUGAAGGCCUUCGGGUCGUAAAGCUCUUUUACCAGGGAUGAUAAUGACAGUACCUGGAGAAUAAGCUCCGGCUAACUCCGUGCCAGCAGCCGCGGUAAUACGGAGGGAGCUAGCGUUGUUCGGAAUUACUGGGCGUAAAGAGUACGUAGGCGGUUAUUCAAGUCAGAGGUGAAAGCCCGGGGCUCAACCCCGGAACUGCCUUUGAAACUAGAUAACUAGAGUCUUGGAGAGGUUAGUGGAAUUCCGAGUGUAGAGGUGAAAUUCGUAGAUAUUCGGAAGAACACCAGUGGCGAAGGCGACUAACUGGACAAGUACUGACGCUGAGGUACGAAAGCGUGGGGAGCAAACAGGAUUAGAUACCCUGGUAGUCCACGCCGUAAACGAUGAUAACUAGUUGUUCGGUCACUUGGUGACUGAGUGACGCAGCUAACGCAUUAAGUUAUCCGCCUGGGGAGUACGGUCGCAAGAUUAAAAACUCAAAAGUAGUAAGUUAGACCGGCGUAGAAGACGUCGACCGAACGGACCGAACCGAACGGAAGGGGUAAGUAGG
rnacentral:rRNA from 1 species